UUCUCCUUGUGUGGUGGAACAGAGUCUUUUGGGAGAAAGAGACUAGAUCUUUCAUGGAUCUCCCUAUACUGUACAUUCAUCCACGUUACUUCUUCGUGCAGCUGACUCAGUGACAAAGCUUCUCCUGUUCCCUGUAUCACUUCAUAUCUCACUGUUAAGCUCCGAAGCAGCGGUGGUUGGGACAAGACCCUCGAGCACACAAGUAUCAGUGACAUGAGGGGCAUGCAAUUCACGGUGCAGAGGGCCCAAGUUUAAAUGACCUUAACCAAACAAACUACAUGCAAAAUGAAGACGGACAGAUGGAUUCAUUUCUGUCUCUUAACCAUCUUUUUUAACCAGUAGCUGUAGAAGAAAGUUUUCAUUAACCUAUUGUACCUGUUUCCGGAUUCAAUGAACCAUCUUAAUUUUUUCCUUUUAUGAUGACAAACUACUAUUUUUUAAUAAUAAAUAGGCCUUCUAGUAAAAUCAAUAGUGGUAAUCUACAUACUAGCAAAAAUAUAGCUCAAUACAUUUAAUGCUAGUUUGUCUUUUGAAUUGAACAAAACACACUCACCUUCCUAUUGCUGUCAGUUAAAAGUUAAAUUUAAGUAUCUUAAAACACUUCAGAAACAGAGAAUUAUGGGUAGUAAGAAGAAAACAAAUGGUAAA